rnacentral:rRNA from 1 species
UAGGGAAUUUUUCACAAUGAGCGAAAGCUUGAUGGAGCAAUGCCGCGUGAACGAUGAAGGUCUUUAAGAUUGUAAAGUUCUUUUAUUUGGGAAGAAUGACUUUAGCAGGUAAUGGCUAGAGUUUGACUGUACCAUUUUGAAUAAGUGACGACUAACUAUGUGCCAGCAGUCGCGGUAAUACAUAGGUCGCAAGCGUUAUCCGGAUUUAUUGGGCGUAAAGCAAGCGCAGGCGGAUUGAAAAGUCUGGUGUUAAAGGCACCUGCUUAACAGUUGUAUGCAUUGGAAACUAUUAAUCUAGAGUGUGGUAGGGAGUUUUGGAAUUUCAUGUGGAGCGGUGAAAUGCGUAGAUAUAUGAAGGAACACCAGUGGCGAAGGCGAAAACUUAGGCCAUUACUGACGCUUAGGCUUGAAAGUGUGGGGAGCAAAUAGGAUUAGAUACCCUAGUAGUCCACACCGUAACGAUAGAUACUAGCUGUCGGGGCGAUCCCCUCGGUAGUGAAGUUAACACAUUAAGUAUCUCGCCUGGGUAGUACAUUCGCAAGAAUG